AUCCUGUGCCACUACAUGCCUGAAGCUUUAGAGCUGAACGUUUCCAAAGACAGAUGACCUUGUCAUCUUUGGCUAUUUAUGUCUGGUCAUGUGGUGGUGUGUGGAAUACUCGCCCUCUCCGCCUUCUCUCUCGGCACUGCAUGAUCCUUGAGGAUGGUGAUUCUAACUUGUCCUGUUAACAGUAUGCCUCUCCAUCUACGAGAAGGAUUUUUCAGAGACCUACCCAUGUUUCAAGGCAGAGGGAACGGAGCCAGUGCAAAGAAAAAGAGAACGGAGCUAGGGAACCGGCCUUGAAGAAGAGAGGGAUGGUACUUGAGAGAAUGGAGUCCCCAUUCAGGUCCCCAGGCCAUGCCUAUCUCACUCACCAGCCAGAGUCUCUAGGAACAAAGCGAAGGGGAGCAUGACGUAGGAGAAGCAGGGCACCCUGACUCUGAAUGCUUCAUUCUGGGAAGCUUCUUAGAAGAGAAGAGAUGAACAGAGCAGAGCAGAGAAGAGAAAGGAAGAGAAGAGCUGAACAGAGCAGAGCAGAGCAGAGCAGAGAAGAGCAGAGCAUAUUACUUAACUGUGACCCUGAAAGUAAAUCAGCAUGCUGAGGAUGUUCAGUCUGCUUGACAUUUUGAGAAAUAAUGUUUUAAGAGAAUCCUUCGCAAUUUUGUGAAAGAGGACAGAAGAGGCAAGUUGUGAGAAUGUAAAAAUCUGUACAGAUUGCCAAUGUCCUAACAUCUUUGUGAUAAAGAGACAUUAUAUUCAUGAGGAAGUUUUAAACAUCCCUUCAUAUGACGCAAAGGCUGCCUUUCUAUGAACACGAAGAUCAUGUAAUUGUAGUACAAUUCCAGCGCCUUUUUUCCUCUGGGAAUUCUGCUGCCUCAAUUAACCGGACUUCAUAAUGGAUAUAUAUGUUCAAAGUGCUACGGAAACACAGAAAUGUUAGCUAUGGAUGUGGCUGUUGAGAAAACCUGGAAAAAGGAUGAAGGAGCUUUUACUAUCAAAAUAAAAGGAAAGUAUUGGUAAGUUUCAGUGGAGGGAGAAGAUAGGGUUGCAUGAUGACUUUUGUGGGUCCUUUAUUCCAUAAAAAGAAGAUACAUAUUGGGGCUGUCCCAGCAGCUGAGUGGUGAAGUUCACAUGCUUCACUUUGGCGGCUCGAGGCUCUCAGGUUUAGAUCCCAGGCGCGGACCUACACACCGCUCAC